rnacentral:rRNA from 1 species
UACGUAGGGUCCGAGCGUUGUCCGGAAUUACUGGGCGUAAAGAGCUCGUAGGUGGUUUGUCGCGUUGUUCGUGAAAACUCACAGCUCAACUGUGGGCGUGCGGGCGAUACGGGCAGACCUGAGUACUGCAGGGGAGACUGGAAUUCCUGGUGUAGCGGUGGAAUGCGCAGAUAUCAGGAGGAACACCGGUGGCGAAGGCGGUUCUCUGGGCAUGACCUGACGCUGAGGAGCGAAAGCAUGGGGAGCGAACAGG